CACCCGGCCUGGACAUGGAAAAGAUUGACAGAUUGAUAACUCUUUCUCAAUUCUGUGGGUGGUGGUGCAUUGCUGUUCUUAGUUGAUGGAACGGUUUGUCUGGUUAUUUCUGAUAACAAACAAGAUAUCUCUAUCUAUCUAUCUAUCUAUCUAUCUAUAUCUAUCUAUCAGUCUAUCACAUUAUGUCCGUCUGUCCAUCCAACAAAGACAGUUUCUAGGUGACCUUUGUGAUAUACAAAGUGGCUCUCUGUGAUGUUACUUAGAAAACAAAGUGACAUGUAUAUGAGUAGAAGUGAGAAAGGAAGGAAAGAGCCAGAAAGAGAGCCAUGUUGCCAUGGAAACAUUGUGAGGCCCUCAGAGUUGGG
rnacentral:ncRNA from 1 species